rnacentral:lncRNA from 1 species
AGAGUGUAUAGAGAUAAAUGUCACAAUAAUAUCAGAGUACUUAUUACAUCGCGGAAGUCUUACAAAAUAAAAGAUAAAUAUAAAUUGAACUAAAAUCCAUCUUUGGCGCUAAUAAGUCAACUGGGAGAGGCCACCUAGAUCAGAUCAAACUCCUCGUUGUGUGGCUCCUCUUGAACCACCUGUUCUUCUCCUAUGGGGGGGGUGUGAGACAACAAGGGUGAGCUCACACAUGAUCAUAGCUCAACAAGUUGUGGGGAAACCAGCAUGCAUGAACUCACCAAAGGUGGGAGUUCAUGUGAGGUGUAAAGCCGAUCAACAAUAUAAAGGUUGAAGCUGAGCAUUGCUUUUAUAAGUUGGUCAAAAUUUUAUUAGCAGUUACUAAGUGUAAGUAAAUACCAAACCAUAAUAAAUAAUAGAACAAAAUUAAUAAAUAAUCCCAUGCAAUGCAAAUGACAAAUUGAAUUUAAGUUACAUAAAUUAAUCAUGUGAGUGUCUGAGUCGCUCAUGACCGUGAGCACAACUAGUAUACCAGUUUUACACUCUGCAGAGGUUGUACCCUGUACCCACAAGUCGUGUAUCCCAUGUCGCCAGGGUUUGCAAGGCCCUUAGACACCACCGAAGUGAAUGGCUAGGGAUCCACUAUGAGGCCUUUACAAAGUUCCACUAGCUUCUGAAAACCCGCUACAGUUUAUGGGAAAAGCACUUGCAAGAAUCCCCCGUCUGUCCGCCAUCGCAGCAAAAUCAACCUGAGAACCUCCCUGGAUGCAACUCCCCUACUACCCUUGCCCCUUUCGGGUAAGGUAGUCUUCCACUAGCUUUCCUAAUUAGUUAGCCAAGGGGUCCCAUUCCUCCCUUGUGGUGGCAUGUUUUCUCAGGUGGUUCUCCAUGUUCCCAUUAACAUAAUGAUCUUAUCAUGAACAUAAUUAACAUAACAGAAUAAUAGGAACAUGGAUAUAAUGAAAUACUAACCCAAAACCCUGUAAAGCAAUAGCAUAACUACCUAAUGAUUCAGGGGUAAUCAAGGUAAAAAGAUAAACAGUCUAGGGUUACGUAUUGGGUCCCAUCAAAAUUAAACCUAUGUAUUGAUAAGUAAUAAUAAAGAACAUUAUUGGGUAACAAAAGUGGUCAAGGGCACAACUUGCCUGGCACUUGAGAUUCCAGUUACCAGGAUGAUUCUUCAGAUCCUCGUGACCUCACCGCUAGUCGUAGCAAUACAAACAAACAUUGUAUAAACAAAAUUAACAUUACUCCAAACAUGAGAACAAACUGCAUAAUAAUAAUCUACGCUGCGUGACGAGAUCGUAGAAACCGGAAACACUAAAUUCAGAGUUACGGUGAUUUAAUUAUGAAUCUCUGAAGUUAUCAAGUACUUGGGGUAGCAUAACUCAUGUGGAUAAUUUUAGUUCAAAUAUCAUGGGUAAAUAGAGUUACCAGGUUAUAAAAAAAUAUUAAAACAAAAUUAUUGCCACUGGAAUGGAUCAAUUUGGAAUUAAAAUGGGGACGUUAUGAAUUUCCAAAUGUUUUAUGUAUUUGAUACAAGAUUAAUUAAGAGAUUAAAUUUAAUGGGGCUUUCAUGUCAAGACAGUGGCACUAGAUGAUAAACAAUAGUAUUACAAAAUUUUAGAAACUUGAAUGGAUCAAUUUGGAGUUCAUAUGAAUUUUCUAUGAUUUAUACAAGUCCUAGCAAAUAUUUUCAUAUUAAAUAUUCAUUUUCUAAUUCAUUUAUCCAAUUUAAAUGGGCUCUAGACUCAGCGCACUAAAAUAGGGAUUUGCAGGGGCCUCGGCGCAAUUAAACCGUAGACUCAGAACACUAUACAUUGGACUGCGGGUUCAUAUAACAAAAGGGCAGGGGCUCUUAUGUAACUAUUCUCGGCCGAAGGGGUAUGGGGUGAUAUCGGCCGUUUGAUCCACAAUCUGUGCGCCAGAUUAGACUUCAUGCUAGUUAUUCAUCCGCGCUCAACCAUGGCCGUCGGAUCCAGGAUUCGCGGUUCUGGUUUAAUGAAUCGAAGGGGUACGCCCAGAUUCGAUCUAGGCCAUUCCCUGCACGAUCAACGGUCGAGGGCCAACUCCCCCUAGAUCUAAUCUUAGCCCUACAGCGAUUGAUCAAUGGUCUUGGGGCUUCUUCCUCCCCAUGACCCCGGACGACUGCGUCACGAACUGGGGAAACGUCUAGCUCGCGUGUAGGUUGACUAACCACCCACGGGUAUGGAUCGGAGCGCGGAUAGAACCUAUGCAGUGAGGAUGGAAUGUUGAAUUACAGGGACGUCUUCUUACCAAGUUCGAAGCGCAAGUACAGUUGCCCACGGAGGCUUGCGGCAUGAUGUCGAUUCCUCAACACCGCCCGUGAAGCUCCCGAUUUCCGAAUUGGCGAAUACAUGAAUGAGUCUUCGCGCAGUACGGGGUGAUAUCGCAGCUUGACACCCCACGCAAGUUGUUGGAGAACCCGGCUCCCACCGCGCGGCAGAGACGACGCUCACACCCUCACGACGGCGGUGAAACACGGUGGCGCCCGCAUGAAUGGCUUAUCUGCUGGCAACCGGGACAGCGAUUUCCAAGGACGAGGGUUUUGUAGGGUGAGGGAAGGCGGGGUUUGCGGCAAGCGAUUUAAGCCCGCGUCCAUCUCUAGAGAGAAAUACAAGCACAACUACGAAAUGGGACCCACAUGUCAUUGGUGGAGGCACCGUAGAGAUGAGAUCAUCCGUGACCUCAGCGUGAUGUCACCGCCCACGAUACAUUAAAGAACUCCGGCGGCCGAAAAAGAAUCUAUACGCCGCGGGAUGGGCCUGGUGGGCCGGUCUUCCGGAAUUGAGGCCAUGCGUGAGCCCUUCUCUUUUUUUUCAUUUAUUUUUAUUUUCUUUUGCUUUCUUCUCUCUUUCUCUAAAAUUCAAAUUUGAAUUUAAACCCUGUUGUGAACUUAUACUCAUUUUUGGAUGUAUACUUUAAUCAGGCCUUUAUGGAUUUAAUUUACUUAUCUUUAAAUUUACUUAUAUUAUUUCUUUCUGCUUUCUCUCCUCUUCUAUUCUCUAUUAUUUCCAAAUUCAACAUUCAAAUCCCCAUUUAAGUUCAAACUUCGUGGUAAUUUGCUUUCUAAUUAAAUAUUCAACUUGGACAUGGUAGGGUGAAUUUACCUAUUUUUAAUAUUUAUUUCAUGUUAACUAGUGUUCUCUUUCUCUAAUUCUAGAAUUCCAAUUUUUAAGUCCUAAAUUCCAAUUCACCUUCAAACUUGUGGAAAUCCCACACUCAGAUUAUAUUGUGCAUUUAAAGGUACCAAUAUAUUUAUGUGCAUUUUUCUGUAUAUUUUAUAUCUUUCCUCCCUUUUCUUGAUUAUUUACUCAUUUCCAAACAUUCAAGAUGUUCUUUAUUUCUCAAAUGAGUUCAUUUGUAUUAUAUGAAUAAUGUUAUUAUUAAAUGCCAUACAAAUAAACUCUAACAUAAUGCAAUAAAUAUAUGUUUAUUUUAAUUAUUUUAUUUGUUUGGUGAAUGCUUGAAAUAUGAAAAACACUCAUAUGGUUUUCUUUCUUUUUAAAAAUAGUAUUUUGAAUGCGGGAUAAGAAGUAAAAAUUACUUCAAAAUUAAAUAUUCAUGUAAAUAAAUGUUUAUGGUGCAUCAUUUGAUGAAAUGCAUAAUCAUUUAGUUGAAUAGAAAGCUUUUCUAUUACUGUUCUAAAAUAAUUCUUGAUUUCCAAAAUUCAGUUCUCAAUUUUCGACACUCAAGUAUAAUUUGAGAUCACUGACUUUACUAUUUUAUUCCUUCAUAUAUUUAUUUUAUUAUUUUUUUCUUAUACAGAUUUUUGGGUCUUACAAAUCCUACCCCUUAACAGAAAUCACGUCCUCGAGAUUUGUAAGGAAAGGGUGUAUAACUGUGUCAUCUCAGAACAUAUGCACACACAAAAAUCUCGGCAUGAUGCAUACUUUAUUAGCAACACAUGGGGUCAAUUAGACCUUAUUAUUCGUCCUAACAUAGUAUCAUACCAACUACUAACUAAAGUAACAUUUAGAUCUUACAAAUAGCAGUAAUAUAUAUAUGUUUAUGUAGCUUGGUGGAGCAGUUGGCAGGCGCGCCCAUACUGGCGCACCGGACAAGGAACAGUAGGUGUCCGGUGUGCACCGGACACCCAGGCGGGCCCAGAAGUCAGAAGCUCCAACGGUCAGAAUCCAACGGCAGUGAUGACGUGGCGGGGGCAUCGGACAUGUCCGGUGCGCACCGGACUGUCCGGUGCGCCAUCGAACAGACAGCCUCCCAACAGCCACUUUUGGUGGUUGGGGCUAUAAAUACCCCAACCACCCCACCAUUCAUUGCAUCCAAGUUUUCCACUUCCCAACUACUACAAGAGCUCUAGCAUUCAAUUCUAGACACACCAAAGAGAUCAAAUCCUCUCCAAAUUCCACACAAACUUCAUAGUGACUAGAUAGAGUGAUUUGCUUGUGUUCUUUCGAGCUCUUGCGCUUGGAUUGCUUUCUUCUUUCUUGAUUCCUUCAUUGCAAUCAAACUCACUUGUAAUUGAGGCAAGAGACACCAAACUUGUGGUGGUCCUUGUGGGAACUUUGUGUUCCAAGUGAUUGAGAAGAGAAAGCUCACUCGGUCGGAAGGACCGUUUGAGAGAGGGAAGGGUUGAAAGAGACCCGGCCUUUGUGGCCUCCUCAACGGGGAGUAGGUUUGCGAGAACCGAACCUCGGUAAAACAAAUCCACGUGUCACACUCUUCAUUUGCUUGUGAUUUGUUUUGCACCCUCUCUCGCGGACUCGUUUAUAUUUCUAACGCUAACCCGGCUUGUAGUUGUGUUUAUAUUUGUAAAUUUCAGUUUCGCCCUAUUCACCCCCCCUCUAGGCGACUAUCACAAUGCUUCCUUUGCUAUUUGUAGAAAGGAUGAGAAGGUAAUUGCUAGGAAAUUAGGGGCCAAAUGUAAGGGAGACAAGACUUGCAUUUGGGUCCCUAAGACUAUUGUAACUAACCUUGUAGGACCCAACAUGAGUUGGGUACAUAAGACCCAAGCCUAAAUUUGCCUUUCAGGUUUAUGCAUCCGGGGGCUCAAGCUGGAUUAUCGACAGUGGAUGCACAAACCACAUGAUGGGGAAAAAGAUGAUGUUCUCUUCCUACGUCAAGAACAAGGAUCCCCAAGAUUCAAUCAUAUUCGGUGAUGGGAACCAAGGCAAGGUGAAAGGGUUAGGAAAAAAUGCUAUUUCAUCCGAGCACUCUAUUUCUAAUGUGUUCUUAGUUGAGUCGCUUGGAUAUAACUUGUUGUCUGUGAGUCAACUUUGUAAUAUGGGAUAUAACUGUUUAUUCACAAAUGUAGAUGUGUCUGUCUUUAGAAGAAGUGAUGGUUCAUUAGCUUUAAGGGUGUAUUAGACGACAAACUUUAUUUAGUUGAUUUUGCAAAAGAGGAGGCCGGUCUAGAUGCAUGCUUAAUUGCUAAGACUAGCAUGUGCUGGCUGUGGCAUCGCCGUUUAGAACAUGUGGGGAUGAAGAACCUUCACAAGCUUCUAAAGGGAGAACACGUGAUAGGUCUAACUAACGUAACUUUCGAAAAAGAUAGACCUUGUGCAGCUUGUCAAGCAGGUAAACAGGUGAGAAGCUCUCAUCAUGCCAAAAAUGUGAUGACAACAUCAAGACCCCUGGAGUUACUUCAUAUGGACCUCUUCGGACCCGUCGCCUAUCUAAGCAUAGGAGGAAGUAAGUAUGGUCUUGUUAUAGUUGAUGAUUUUUCCCGCUUCACUUGGGUAUUCUUUUUGCACGAUAAAUCUGAAACCCAAGGGACCCUCAAGCGCUUCCUAAGGAGAGCUCAAAAUGAGUUUGAGCUCAAGGUGAAGAAGAUAAGGAGCGACAAUGGGUCCGAGUUCAAGAACCUUCAAGUGGAAGAGUAUCUUGAGGAGGAAGGAAUCAAGCACGAGUUCUCCGCUCCCUAUAGACCACAACAAAAUGGUGUGGUAGAGAGGAAGAACAGGACACUACUAGACAUGGCGAGGACGAUGCUUGGUGAAUUCAAGACGCCCGAACGGUUUUGGACGGAAGCCGUGAGCACGGCUUGCCAUGCCAUAAACCGGGUCUACCUUCAUUGCCUCCUCAAGAAGACUUCAUAUGAGCUUCUAACUGGUAACAAACCCAAUGUGUCUUACUUUCGUGUAUUUGGGAGCAAAUGUUAUAUUCUAGUGAAGAAAGGUAGAAAUUCUAAGUUUGCUCCCAAAGCUGUAGAAGGGUUUUUGUUAGGUUAUGACUCAAAUACAAAGGCGUAUAGGGUCUUCAACAAAUCAUCGAGUUUGGUUGAAGUCUCUAGCGACGUUGUAUUUGAUGAGACUAAUGGCUCUCCAAGAGAGCAAGUUGUUGAUCUUGAUGAUGUAGAUGAAGAAGACGUUCCAACGGCCGCAAUGCGCACCAUGGCGAUUGGAGAUGUAAGGCCACUGGAACAAAAGGAGCAAGAUCAACCUUCUUCCUCAACAACGGUACAUCCCCCAACUCAAGGAGAUGAACAGGUUCAUCAAGAGGAGGCGUGUGAUCAAGGGGGAGCACAAGAUGAUCAUUUAAUGUAGGAAGAAGCACAACCAGCACCUCCAACCCAAGUUCGAGCGACGAUUCAAAGGGAUCAUCCCGUCGACCAGAUUUUGGGUGAUAUUAGCAAGGGAGUUACUACUCGCUCUAGAUUAGUUAAUUUUUGUGAGCAUUACUCUUUUGUCUCUUCUAUUGAGCCUUUCAGGGUAGAAGAGGCCUUGCUAGAUCCGAACUGGGUGUUGGCCAUGCAGGAAGAGCUCAACAACUUCAAGCGAAAUGAAGUUUGGACACUGGUGCCUCGUCCCAAGCAAAAUGUUGUGGGAACCAAGUGAGUGUUUCGCAACAAACAAGACGAGCACGGGGUGGUGACAAGGAACAAGGCACGACUUGUGGCAAAAGGUUAUGCCCAAGUUGCAGGUUUGGACUUUGAGGAGACUUUUGCUCCUGUGGCUAGGCUAGAGUCAAUUCGCAUAUUGUUAGCCUAUGCUACUCACCAUUCUUUCAGGUUGUUCCAAAUGGAUGUGAAGAGCGCUUUCCUCAACGGGCCAAUCAAGGAGGAGGUGUACGUGGAGCAACCCCCUGGCUUUGAGGAUGAACGGUACCCCGACCACGUGUGUAAGCUCUCUAAGGCGCUCUAUGGACUUAAGCAAGCCCCAAGAGCAUGGUAUGAAUGCCUUAGAGACUUUUUAAUUGCUAAUGCUUUCAAGGUUGGGAAAUCCGAUCCAACACUAUUUACUAAGACUUGUGAUGGUGAUCUCUUUGUGUGCCAAAUUUAUGUCGAUGACAUAAUAUUUGGUUCUACUAAUCAAAAGUGUUGUGAAGAGUUUAGCUGGGUGAUGACUCAAAAGUUUGAGAUGUCAAUGAUGGGCGAGUUAAGCUAUUUUCCUUGGGUUCCAAGUAAAGCAACUCAAGGAUGGGACCUUCAUCUCCCAAACGAAGUACACGCAAGACUUGAUCAAGCGGUUUGGGAUGAAGGACGCCAAGCCCGCAAAGACUCCAAUGGGAACCGACGGACACACCGACCUCAACAAAGGAGGUAAGUCCGUUGAUCAAAAGGCAUACCGGUCUAUGAUAGGGUCCUUACUUUAUUUAUGUGCAAGUAGACCGGAUAUUAUGCUCAGUGUAUGCAUGUGUGCUAGAUUUCAAUCCGAUCCAAAGGAGUGUCACUUAGUGGCUGUGAAGCGAAUUCUUAGAUAUUUAGUUGCUACGCCUUGCUUCGGGAUCUGGUAUCCAAAGGGGUCUACCUUUGACUUGAUUGGAUAUUCAGACUCCGACUAUGCUGGAUAUAAGGUCGAUAGGAAGAGUACAUCAGGGACGUGCCAAUUCUUAGGAAGGUCCCUGGUGUCGUGGAGUUCUAAGAAACAAACCUCCGUUGCCCUAUCCACCGCUGAGGCCGAGUAUGUUGCCGCAGGACAGUGUUGCGCGCAACUACUUUGGAUGAGGCAAACCCUCAGGGACUUUGGCUACAAUCUGAGCAAAGUCCCACUCCUAUGUGAUAAUGAGAGUGCUAUCCGCAUGGCAGAUAAUCCUGUUGAACACAGCCGCACAAAGCACAUAGACAUCGGGCAUCACUUUUUGAGGGAUCACCAGCAAAAGGGAGAUAUCGAAGUGUUUCAUGUUAGCACCGAGAACCAGCUAGCCGAUAUCUUUACCAAGCCUCUAGAUGAGAAGACCUUUUGCAGGCUGCGUAGUGAGCUAAAUGUCUUAGAUUCGCGGAACUUGGAUUGAUUUAUAGCAUACAUGUGGUUUAUGCCUUGAUCAUGUUCCUUAAUGCAUUUUGUUGUUUAUUUAUGGUGCUCAAGUUGUACAAGCACUCCCUGAACCUCACAAGUCCAUUUGCAAGUGAUGCACACAUUUAGGUGGAGAUGUGCUACAACUUGACCCUUUGAGGCUAACUGUGUGCUUGAGUUUGCUUAAUUUAGUCUCAAAGGAGGUUUGAAAGGGAAAAGGUGGACUUGGACCAUGCAAGACUUCCACUGCACUCCGAUGAAAGAGUAACUGAUUCCAAGUUCAUCUUUGUACUCUUAUUGCCUUUUUACUCUUAGUUGAAUAUUUUGGUGAGGCAAUGGGGUUAAAGGGCCAAGAUUGAUCCCGUUUUGGUGCUUGAUGCCAAAGGGGAAGAAAAUAAGGCCAAAGCAAUAAAUGGAUCAGCUACCACUUGAGAAUUUUGAAAAUAGUAGAAUAGAGCUUUUGGUUUGUCAAAAAUCUCUUAUUGUCUCUUUUGUCAAAAGCUGGCCUCUGGUGGGGAGAAUGGUUGAUUAUGAAAAAAGGGGAGUUUUUGAAAUCUUUGAUCAAAUUCUCUUGGAACAACUCUCUUUAUGUCUCAACAAGUGUGUUUGACUUAGAGAUAGGCAAUUGAGUUUGAUUUACAAAAAACAAACCAAGUGGUGGCAAAGAAUGAUCCAAAUAUGCCAAAUUUGAAUCAAAACAAAUUUGAGUUUUCAUUCGCAUUGAUGUUGCACUUCUUUUAGUUGCUUUUUAUUGUGUUGGCAUAAAUCACCAAAAAGGGGAGAUUGAAAGGGAAAUGUGCUCUUGGGCCAUUUCUAAGUAUUUUGGUGAUUAAGUGUCCAACACAAGUGCCUAAGUGUUAAAUUGUGCCAAGGACUCAAGAAGUGCAAAUCAAGAUUAAAGGUAUGUUUCUAGACUUAGUACAUUGUUUUUAAGACUAAUGUAUUGUGUCUAAGUGCUAGAAACAAGAGAAACAAUUUUGGAGAAGUUGGCUGUGUACAACCAAAAGGCUGCUCGGUCUGGGUGCACCGGACUGUCCGGUGGUGCACCGGACAGUUUCUGGUGUGCCAGGCUGGCAUCUGUCAACUAGCUGCUCUCGGGAAGCGAUUAACGGCGUACGGCUAUAAAUCACCAGACUGUCCGGUGAGCCAACAGUCGACUGGGCCAAUGGUCGGCCGCGUAAUCCGCGCGUGACGCGUGGCAGAGCCAACGGUCACAAGGGGCACCGGACUGUCCGGUGUGCACCGGACAGUGUUUGGUGCGCCAACGGCUCUGAACCGCCAACGGUCGGCUUCGCCAAAGAAGGAAAGAAAUCCGCACCGGACAUUGUCCGGUGGUGCACCGGACUGUCCGGUGCGCCAGGCGACAGAAGGCAAGAAUUGCCUUCCUGGAAUGCUCUCAACGGCUCCUAGCUGCCUUGGGGCUAUAAAAGGGACCCCUAGGCGCAUGGAGAAGAAGACCAAGCAUUCCUUGAGCAUUGUUGAUCACUCACACUUCAUUCUUGCGCACUUGUUCGACAUUCCUAGUGAUUUGAGCUCCGUUCUAGUGAGAACCUUGUGAUACUCUUUUGAGCUCAAGUCUUGAUCUUGUGUGUGCGUAUUUGCUGUGGAUUUGAGUGUGUUGCUUCCCUCCCUUACUCUAGUGCUUCAUUGUGAUUCUUAUUGUAAGGGCGAGAGACUCCAAGUUGUGGAGAUUCCUCGCAAACGGGAAAGAGUAAAGUAAAGAAGAACACCGUGGUAUUCAAGUUGAUCAUUGGAUCACUUGAGAGGAGUUGAGUGCAACUCUCGUCCGUUGGGACGCCACAACGUGGAGUAGGCAAGUUUUGUACUUGGCCGAACCACGGGAUAAAUCCUCGUGUCUCUUGUGCUUGUCCUUAUUGUGUCUAUUGUGCUUCACAAGAGCUCUCCUCUCUACUCACUUGAUUUCAUUGAUCUAACUCUUAAUCAAGUUUGUGGUGUUAUGUUGUAAGUUUUACAGGAUCACCUAUUCACCCCCCCUCUAGGUGCUCUCACUUUCGGAUAAGGUAGUCUUCCAGUAGCUUUCCUAAUUAGUUAGCCAAGGGGUUCCAUUCCUCCCUUGUGGUGGCAUGUUUUCCCGGGUGGUUCUCCAUGUUCCCAUUAACAUAAUGAUCUUAUCAUGAACAUAAAUAACAUAACAGAAUGAUAGGAACAUGGAUAUAAUGAAAUAUUAACCCAAAACCAUGUAAAGCAAUAGCAUAAGUACCCAAUGAUUCAGGGGUAAACAAGGUAAAAAGAUAAACAGUCUAGGGUGACCUAUUGGGUCCCAUCAAAAUUAAACCUAUGCAUUGAUAAGUGAUAAUAAAGAACAUUAUUGGGUAACAAAAGUGGUCAAGGGCAACACUUGCCUGGCACUUGAGAUUCCAGUUACCCCGAUGAUUCUUCAGAUCCUCGUGACCUCACCGCUAGUCGUAGCAAUACACACAAACAUUGUAUGGACAAAAUUAACAUUACGCCAAACAUAAGAACAAAUUGCAUAAUAAUAAUCUACGCUGCGUGACGAGAUCGUAGGAACCGGAAUCACUAAAUUUGGAGUUACAGUGAUUUAAUUAUGAAUCUCUGAAGUUAUCAAGUACUUGGAGCAGCAUAACUCAUGUGGAUAAUUUUAGUUCAAGUAUAAUGGGUAAACAGAGUUACUAGGUGAUAAACAAUAUUAAAACAAAAUUAUUACCACUAGAAUGAAUCAAUUUGAAAUUAAAAUGGGGAAGUUAUGAAUUUCCAAAGGUUUUAUGUAUUUGAUACAAGAUUAAUUAAGAGAUUAAAUUUAAUGGGGCUUUCAUGUCAAAACAGUGGCACUAGAUGAUAAACAAUAGUAUUACAAAAUUUUAGAAACUUGAAUGGAUUAAUUUUGAGUUCAAAUGAAUUUUCUAUGAUUUAUAAAAGUCCUAGCAAAUAUUUUCAUAUUAAAUAUUCAUUUUCUAAUUCAUUUAUCCAAUUUAAAUGGGCUCUGGACUGCGCGCACUAAAACAGGGAUUUGCAGGGGCCUUGGCGCAAUUAAACCGUAGACUCAGAACACUAUACAUUGGACUGCGGGUUCAUAUAACAAAAGGGCAGGGGCUCUUAUGUAAUUAUGCUCGGCCGAAGGGGUACGGGGUGAUAUCGGCCGUUUGAUCCAAAAUCUGCGCGCCAGAUUAGACUUCAUGCUAGUUAUUCAUCCGCGCUCAACCAUGGCCGUCGGAUCCGGGAUUUGCGGUUCUGGUUUAAUGACUCGAAGGGGUACGCCCAGAUUCGGUCUAGGCCAUUCCUUUCAUGAUCAACGGUCUAGGGCCAACUCACCCUAGAUCUAAUCCUAGCUCUACAGCGAUUGAUCAACGGUCUUGGGGCUUCUUCCUCCCCAUGACCCCGGACGGCUGCGUCACGAACUGGGGAAACGUCUAGCUCGCGUGUAGGUUGACUAACCGCCCAGGAGUAUGGAUCGGAGCGUGGAUAGAACCUAUGCAGUAAGGAUGAAAUGUUGAAUUACAUGGAUGUCUUCUUACCAAGUUCGAAGCACAAGUACAGUUGCCCACGGAGGCUUGCGGCGUGAUGGCGAUUCCUCAACACCGCCCGCGAAGCUCCCGAUUUCUGACUUGGCGAAUACGUGAAUGAGUCUUCGCGCGGUACGGGGUGAUAUCGCAGCUUGACAACGCCCGCAAGUCGUUGGAGAACCCGGCUCCCACCGCACGACAGAGACGACGCUCACACCCUCACUCACGACGGCGGUGAAACACGGUGGCACAUGCACGAAUGGCUUAUCUGCUGGCAACCGGGACGGCGAUUUCUAGGGACGAGGGUUUUGUAGGGUGAGGGAAGGCGGGGUUUGCGGCAAGCGGUUGAAGCCCGCUUCCAUCUCCAGAGAGAAAUACAAGCGCAAUUACGGAAUGGGACCCACAUGUUAUUGGUGGAGGCACCGUAGAGAUGAGAUCAUCCGUGACCUCAGCGUGACGUCACCGCCCAGGAUAUAUUAAAGAAUUCCGGCGGCCGAAAAAGAAUCUGUACGCGCGGGAUGGGCCUGGUGGGCCGGUCUUCCGGAAUUGAGGCCAUGCGUGAGCCCUUCUCUUUAUUUUUUUCAUUUAUUUUUAUUUUCUUUUGCUUUCUUCUCUCUUUCUCUAAAAUUCAAAUUUGAAUUUAAAUCCUGUUGUGAACUUAUACACAUUUUUGAAUGUAUACUUUAAUCAGGCCUUUAUGGAUUUAAUUUACUUAUCUUUAAAUUUACUUAUAUUAUUUCUUUCUCCUUUCUCUCCUCUUCUAUUCUCUAUUAUUUCCAAAUUCAACAUUCAAAUCCCCAUUUAAAUUCAAACUUCGUGGUAAUUUGCUUUCUCAUUAAAUAUUCAACUUGGACAUGGUAGGGUGAAUUUACCUAUUUUCAAUAUUUAUUUCAUGUUAACUAGUGUUCUCUUUCUCUAAUUCUAGAAUUCCAAUUUUAAGUCCUAAAUUCCAAUUCACCUUCAAACUUAUGGAAAUCCCACACUCAGAUUAUAUUGUGCAUUUAAAGGUACCAAUAUAUUUAUGUGCAUUUUUCUGUAUAUUUUAUAUCAUUCCUCCCUUUCCAUCAUUUUAACUCAUUUCCAAGCAUUCAAGAUGUUCUUUAAUUCUCAAAUGAGUUCAUUUGUAUUAAUAUGAAUAUUGUUAUUAUUAAAUGCCCAUACAAAUAAACUCUAACAUAAUGCAAUAAAUAUAUGUUUAUUUUAAUUAUUUUAUUUGUUUGUUAAAUGCUUGAAAUAUGAAAAACACUCAUAUGGUUUUCUUUCUUUUAAAAAAAUAGUAUUUUGAAUGCAGGAUAAGAAGUAAAAAUUACUUCACAAUUAAAUAUUCAUGUAAAUAAAUGUUUAUGGUGCAUCAUUUGAUGAAAUGUAUAAUCAUUUAGUUGAAUAGAAACCUUUUCUAUUACUUUUCUAAAAUAAUUCUUGAUUUCCAAAAUUCAGUUCUCAAUUUUCGACACUCAAGUAUAAUUUGAGAUAACUGACUUUACUAUUUUAUUCCUUCAUAUAUUUAUUUUAUUAUUUUUUUCUUAUACAGAUUUUUGGGUCUUACAAAUCCUACCCCCUUAACAGAAAUCACGUCCUCGAGAUUUGUAAGGAAAGGGUGUAUAACUGUGUCAUCUCAGAACAUAUGCACACACAAAAAUCUCGGCAUGAUGCAUACUUUAUUAGCAACACAUGGGGUCAAUUAGACCUUAUUAUUCGUCCUAACAAAGUAUCAUACCAACUACUAACUAAAGUAACAUUUAGAUCUUACAAAUAGCAGUAAUAUAUAUAUGUUUAUGUAGCUUGGUGGAGCUGGUGGUGGUGGUGGAGGUUGUUGUUGUCGUUGUCUUUCCAACCGUGCUUGCCUUAUUUCUUGAUGUAUCUCUAGCCGGUCCUGACGUAUUUCCUCGCGUUCUUGCCUUAUCUGAUUUUGCAUUUCGGUAACCAUGUUUGCCAUUUGUUGUAUUACCAUCAUUUGGGUGGCAACCACUUGAUCAAUUCCAACUGGUGGAGGAUUUGGAUGAUUUAUUUAUGUUUGUUGUUGCCUGAUAAUCUUCCCUUCCUGGUAUUGACCAUGAUAGUUAGAAGCAUAUGGUAGGAUAGUUUUGCAAUGAAGAUUAUUUGGUAAGCAGAAUGAAUAGGCUGAUAGCUGGUUAUGAUCUGAAGAUUCUUUAGCAGGGCUUAAUCUUUGUUUUAUGUCCAGAUUGGGGUAACUAGUCGUAUAAGGUGAAUAUCCAAAGGUUGGAUAGAAUUUUGUCAAGAUGCGAUAGUCUAGAUGAUGUAGGUUAAAUGUUUGUUUGAUGUUAGGUGGGAAUAAAUCGAUUAUACCAUUCAUAAUGACUCUAUGGGUUGGGUUAGCUCUUAUGCUCAUGGUUGAGUUGGUCUAAUGUGCUAAGUUAUGUUAACACCUGGCUAGUAGGGUUUAAUCUCUUCUACCAGUAUGACUAAUCUGUUUAAGUAGACCACAUUAGAUUGGGUCAUAUUAGCUUAGAUCACAUUAGAUUCUAUAAUCCCAUUUAAGAAUACCACUUAGUUAAGCAUAACAAGCUGACUUUAUCUUUAUGGGAUUCUAGUAUAUAUUUUUUUAUACACCUAAAAUUGUUCAUGCCAUUAGCAGGUGUGACAUGGAAAACAAGGGUACAUCAGAUUUUAACUAUUAAGUGAGUGUUGACAUAGAAUGAGUGUACUAUGGCAUAAUCGAGCUUCCUUUGGGGAAAGAGAAACUUUUAUUCCGGAUGCUGGAUCUGGAUUCAUCUGAAGAUUUGUUUCUACUCAUACCCUUCAUCGUCGAGGUUAACCUUCUUCUUGGGUCUGAUUUAGGGACUAUCGGUUGUGGUGUUGGAUGCCAUUAUCUGACUUGAGAUAACAAUUGCAGUUACAUGAGGUAGGUAGAAUAAACAGAGUUUUAUUUUUCUUUUGAGAUAAAUGGGUUGGGCAACCUAUAACAUAGGCUAGGUCGUGGUUUCAUGGACGAGUUGGCCUAAGACACCACUAUAGAUUUAAAACCCAUUUAUAGGAAUAUGGUCUAAUCUAUGUUACCAGUAUUAACUAACUUGUUUAAGUAACUUCCUUUAGUUUGGAUAUGACUAGAUUAGACUAGUUUCAGUUAGAUAGAUCUACCAGGGUAGGAUAUAUAUUAUUAGGAGAUCAUAUGAUGUGGGUAAGUUAGAAUCUCUGUUAGGUUAGAACAGAGGGGUUAUGCAACUAUCGGGUGGUUAAUAUAGUUUUUUUUCGAGGCCGAGUUGGUCGGUCAUUCUUAAUUUAGUGCAUAGUGAAUUAAGUUAAAACAUGUGGAUAUGGUCUAAUCCAUUUCGCCAGUAUUAACUAACCUGUUUGAGUAAAUCACAUUGGGUUAGUUUAGAUUAGAUGGGAACUAGAUUAGUUUAGCAUAACUAGAUUUGACUAAAUAAGACCUAAUUAAUUUUGGGUUAGAUUAGGUUGAAUGGGGUCUAGGUAUGACCAGAUUAAUCUAGAUAAGAUCUAGAAUACAUUGAUAUGACUGGUUUAGUCUAGAUAAGAUCCAAUUAAUUUGGAUUGGAUCAUGAUCAUGGUGGGAUAAGUCAAGUGGUUUUAGUCACGCAAAUAUAACCUAGAUCUGAUCUCAUUAAUUAGAUCAUGGUUGUUACUUUAGGAUGAGAUAAGCAGGGUGGUCAGGAUAAGACGAAUCUUUCAAGAUAAGAUGAAUCUAUUAAGAUAAGAGAGAAUCUUUUAAAAUAAGAUGGAUCUAUUAAGAUAAGAGAGAGUCUUUUAAGAUAAGAUGGAUCUAUUUGAUAUAUUCUAGUGGGGGUACUUUUAGUUGGUCUAGUUUAUCUUAUAAACAAUUUAAGAGGAUAAGAUUUUUUUAACACAAGAUGAACCUAUUAGGAUAAGAUAGAUUCCUUUAAGUUAAGAGAGAUCCAUUAAAGUGUAUCUAUUUUAAAUAGAUCCCUCUUUAAUGGAGGAUAAUCUAAGUUGUUUAGUUAUCUCAUGAAUUCUAUUUAUGUCUAUACGUAUAUGCAGAUGUAAUUGUGGACAUUACUACACAACUAAUCACACUCAAUCAAAGAUCCAAAUCAGAUAGGUAUCAUAAGAACAAACACUCAAGCGUAUAGAUACCUAUAGAAAUAGUUUUAUUUUUGUUCCUAAGAGUAGGUCUCUUAUUCCUAAAGUCACUUUAGGCACAUGAUUUCAAAGUGUGAAAUCCACUUUUGUCUUUAGAAGGAAUAGAUAAGAAUAAUCAGAGUAAAGCGGAAAUAGAUGAGAAAAGAUUAAGAUAAGUUUAGAAAAGAAUUAGAGUAAAGCGGAAAUAGAUGAGAAAAGAUUAAGAUGAGUUUAGAAAAGAAUCAGAGUAAGGUAAGUAGGUAAGGGUUGUCCAGUUCUAUCUAGGUUUCGUCCUACAGUCAACAUUCCUCUGAUACCACUUCUGUCACACCCGGAUUUAAAGGACAAAGCCGGGUGCAUCUCAUACAUGCGCCAAAGAAGACAACAUAUAUAAUAACAGAGUGUAUAGAGAUAAAUGUCAGAAUAACAUCAGAGUACUUAUUACAUCGCGGAAGUCUUACAAAAUAAAAGAUAAAUAUAAAUUGAACUAAAAUCCAUCUUUGGCGCUAAUAAGUCAACUGGGAGACGCCACCUAGAUCAGAUCAAACUCCUCGUUGUGUGGCUCCUCUUGAACCACCUGUUCUUCUCCUAUGGGGGGGUGUGAGACAACAAGGGUGAGCUCACACAUGAUCAUAGCUCAACAAGUUGUGGGGAAACCAGUGUGCAUGAACUCACCAAAGGUGGGAGUUCAUGUGAAGUGUAAAGUUGAUCAACAAUAUAAAGGUUGAAGCUGAGCAUUGCUUUUAUAAGUUGGUCAAAAUUUUAUUAGCAUUUACUAAGUGUAAGUAAAUACCAAACCAUAAUAAAUAAUAGAACAAAAUUAAUAAAUAAUCCCAUGCAAUGCAAAUGACAAAUUGAAUUUAAGUUACAUAAAUUAAUCAUGUGAGUGUCCGAGUCGCUCAUGACCGUGAGCACGACUAGUAUACCAGUUUUACACUCUGCAGAGGUUGUACCCUGUACCCACAAGUCGUGUAUCCCAUGUCGCCAGGGUUUACAAGCCCCUUAGACACUACCGAGGUGAAUGGCUAGGGAUCCAUUACGAGGUAUUUACAAAGUUCCACUAGCUUCCGAAAACCCGCUACACUUUAUGGGAAGAGCACUUGCAAGAAUCUCCCGUCUGACCGCCAUCGCAUCAAAAUCAACCAGAGAACCUCCCUGAAUGUAACUCCUCUACUGCCCUUGCCCCAUUGAAAGGGAAAUGUGCUCUUGGGCCAUUUCUAAGUAUUUUGGUGAUUAAGUGUCCAACACAAGUGCCUAAGUGUUAAAUUGUGCCAAGGACUCAAGAAGUGCAAAUCAAGAUUAAAGGUAUGUUUCUAGACUUAGUACAUUAUUUUUAAGACUAAUGUAUUGUGUCUAAGUGCUAGAAACAGGAGAAACAAUUUUGGAGAAGUUGGCUGUGUACAGCCAAAAGGCUGCUCGGUCUAGGUGCACCGGACAGUGUCCGGUGUGCCAGGCUGGCAUCUGUCAACUGGCUGCUCUCACGAAGCGAUUAACGGCGUACGACUAUAAAUCACCGGACUGUCCGGUGGUGCACCGGACUGUCCGAUGAGCCAACAGUCGACUGGGCCAACGGUCGACCGCGUAAUCCGCGCACGACGCGUGGCAGAGCCAACGGUCAGAAGGGGGCACCGGACUGUCCGAUGUGCACCGGACAGUGUCCGGUGCGCCAACGGCUCUGAACCGCCAACGGUCGGCUUCGCCAAAGAAGGAAAGAAAUCCGCACCGGACAGUGUUCGGUGGUGCACCGGACUGUCCGGUGCGCCAGGCGACAGAAGGCAAGAAUUGCCUUCCUGGAAUGCUCUCAACGGCUCCUAGCUGCCUUGGGGCUAUAAAAGGGACCCCUAGGCGCAUGGAGAAGAAGACCAAGCAUUCCUUGAGCAUUGUUGAUCACUCACACUUCAUUCUUGCGCACUUGUUCGACAUUCCUAGUGAUUUGAGCUCCGUUCUAGUGAGAACCUUGUGAUACUCUUUUGAGCUCAAGUCUUGAUCUUGUGUGGGCGUAUUUGCUGUGGAUUUGAGUGUGUUGCUUCCCUCCCUUACUCUAGUGCUUCAUUGUGAUUCUUAUUGUAAGGGCGAGAGACUCCAAGUUGUGGAGAUUCCUCGCAAACGGGAAAGAGUAAAGUAAAGAAGAACACCGUGGUAUUCAAGUUGAUCAUUGGAUCACUUGAGAGGAGUUGAGUGCAACUCUCGUCCGUUGGGACGCCACAACGUGGAGUAGGCAAGUUUUGUACUUGGCCGAACCACGGGAUAAAUCCUCGUGUCUCUUGUGCUUGUCCUUAUUGUGUCUAUUGUGCUUCACAAGAGCUCUCCUCUCUACUCACUUGAUUUCAUUGAUCUAACUCUUAAUCAAGUUUGUGGUGUUAAGUUGUAAGUUUUACAGGAUCACCUAUUCACCCCCCCUCUAGGUGCUCUCAAUUGGUAUCGGAGCCGUUCUCUUCAAGAAAGGGACUAAUCGCCCGAAGAGAUGGAUCCUAAGGGCAAGGGGAUGGUGGUCAAUGAUAAGGAGAAGGAGUCCUUCGUCAAUGAUCCAAAGGAUGACAAGCCUACUGACUCAGGCUCGGGCCACAAAAGAAAAGACGGGAGGAAGAAGAAAACAAGGCGCAUCAAGGAGAUAGUCUACUACGACAGCGACGAAUCUUUUUCUUCCCAAAAGGACGACGACAACGACUACGAGAAAAAGAAGACGGUUAAUUCAAACUUUUCCUUUAAUUCAAACUUUUCCUUUGAUUACGCAAAGUUCCAAUGCUCAUUUGCUUUCCAUUCCCCUCGGUAAACCCCCCCACUUUGAUGUAGAGGACUAUGGAUUUUGGAGUCACAAAAUGCGUAGCCACUUGUUCUCUCUCCAUCCAAGUAUAUGGGAGAUAAUGGAGAAUGGAAUGCACUUUGAUAGUACGGAUAGUCCCAUGUUCAUUAAUGAGCAAAUUCACAAAAAUGCACAAGCUACUACUGUUCUUCUAGCUUCACUGUGCAGGGAUGAAUACCAUAAGGUGAGCGGCUUGGAUAACGCCAAGCAGAUUUGGGACACCCUCAAAAUCUCACAUGAGGGGAACGACGUCACCAUGCUCACCAAGAUGGAGUUGGUGGAGGGAGAACUUGGGAGAUUCACAAUGAUCAGGGGCGAGGAGCCAACCCAAACGUACAACCGGCUCAAGACCCUCGUCAACAAAAUAAGGAGCUAUGGGAGCACGCGAUGGACGGACCACGACGUCGUCCGCCUAAUGCUAAGGUCUUUUACUGUCCUUGAUCCACAUCUUGUGAACAAUAUUCGUGAGAAUCCCAGGUACACCAAGAUGACGCCCGAGGAGAUACUUGGAAAGUUUGUAAGCGGGCAGAUGAUGAUCAAGGAGGCAAGAUACGUUGACGAUGCGUUGAACGACCCAAUUCAUGAGCCUCAAACCGUUGCUCUCAAAGCAACAAGGAGCAAGGAAGGGCUACCUAGCAAGGUGGCACAAGUUGAGGCGACGGGACUCAAUGAGGAAGAGAUGGCCCUCAUCAUUAAGCGUUUCAAGACGGCGCUAAGGGGUCGCAAGGAGCAUCCCAACAAGACCAAGACGAAGGGGAAGCACUCUUGCUUCAAAUAUGGUAAGAUUGGUCAUUUUAUCGCUAAUUGUCCCGAUAAUAAUAGUGACCAGGAACAAGGGAACAAGAGGGAAAAGAAGAAGACUUACAAGAAGGCUAAGGGCGAGGCACACCUUGGAAAGGAGUGGGACUCGGAUUGUUCGUCGUCCGACUCCGACAACGAAGGACUCGCCGCCACCGCCUUCAACAAGUCGACCCUCUUCCCCAACGAGCAUCACACCUGCCUCAUGGCAAGGGAAAAGAAGGUAAGCACUCAUAAUACUAGUACUUACGCUUCCUCAAGUGAUGAAGAAUCUAGUGAUGAUGAAAUAGACUAUUCAUGUUUAUUCAAAGGCCUAGAUAGAACUAAGGUCGAUAAGAUUAAUGAAUUAAUUGAUGCAUUGAAUGAUAAGAAUAGGUUAUUAGAAAAGCAAGAGGAUCUUUUGUAUGAAGAACAUGAUAAGUUUGUAGAAGCACAAAAAUCCCUUGCUUUAGAAAUUAAAAGGAAUGAAAUGCUUUCUUGUGAAUUGUCUACAUGCCAUGACUCUAUUUCUAGCUUAAAGAGCAUAAAUGAUGAUUUGAAUGCUAAGUUAGAAAUAGCUAAUAAAUCAACAUCUUGUUUAGAACAUGUUGCAAUUUGCAAUAGGUGUAAAGAUUUUAAUGUUGAUGCUUGUAGUGAACACCUAGUUUCAAUUUCUAAAUUGAAUGAUGAAGUGGCUAGUCUUAAUGCCCAACUUAAGACUAGCAAGAGUGAAUUUGACAAACUAAAAUUUGCAAGGGAUGCCUACACGAUUGGUAGACACCCCUCAAUUAAGGAUGGUCUUGGCUUCAAGAGGGAAGUCAAGAACUUAACAAGUCAUAAGGCUUCCAUCUCCACCAAGGAGAAAGGAAAGGCCCCUAUGGCUAGUAGUACUCAAAAGAACCAUGCUUUCAUGUAUCAUGAUAGGAGACAUUCUAGGAAUGUCUAUAGAAGUUAUGAUGCUUUUGAUUCUCAUACAAUGAUUGCUUCUAGUUCUUCGAUUAUGCAUGAUAGAAAUUUGGCUAGGAAAAAUGUUGUUCAUCAUAUGCCUAGAAGAAAUAUUGUUCAUGUUCCUAGGAAAGUAAUGAAUGAACCUUCUACAAUUUAUUAUGCUUGCAAUGUGAAAGGGAAUUAGGCUUACACCUAGUCCCUAAUUAAUUUUGGUGGUUGAAUUGCCCAACACAAAUAAUUGGACUAACUAGUUUGCUCUAGUGUAUAAGUUAUACAGGUGUAAAAGGUUCACACACAGCCAAUAAAAAGAUCAAGUUUUGGAUUCAACAAAGGAGCAAAAAGGCAACCGAAGGCACCUCUGGUCUGGAGGCACCGGACUGUCCGGUGUACAUCGGACAGUGUCCGGUGCGCCACCGGACAGUGUCCGGUGCACCAGAGGACUCCAACUCGAACUCGCCACCUUCGGGAAUUUAUCAGACCGGCGCGCUAUAAUUCACCGGACUGUCCGGUGUACACCGGACAGUGUCCGGUGCUCCAAGGAAGCGCGGCCUCCGGAACUCGCCAGCCUCGGGAACGUGCAGCAGCCGCUCCGCUAAAAUUCACCGGACAUGUCCGGUGUGCACCGGACUGUCCGGUGUAACCACGGAGCAACGACUAUUUCGGCGCCAACGGCUACCUGCGGCGCAUUUAAUGCGCGCUCUGCGCGCGCAGUUGGCAGGCGCGCCCAUACUGGCGCACCGGACAAGGAACAGUAGGUGUCCGGUGUGCACCGGACACCCAGGCGGGCCCAGAAGUCAGAAGCUCCAACGGUCAGAAUCCAACGGCAGUGAUGACGUGGCGGGGGCAUCGGACAUGUCCGGUGCGCACCGGACUGUCCGGUGCGCCAUCGAACAGACAGCCUCCCAACAGCCACUUUUGGUGGUUGGGGCUAUAAAUACCCCAACCACCCCACCAUUCAUUGCAUCCAAGUUUUCCACUUCCCAACUACUACAAGAGCUCUAGCAUUCAAUUCUAGACACACCAAAGAGAUCAAAUCCUCUCCAAAUUCCACACAAACUUCAUAGUGACUAGAGAGAGUGAUUUGCUUGUGUUCUUUCGAGCUCUUGCGCUUGGAUUGCUUUCUUCUUUCUUGAUUCCUUCAUUGCAAUCAAACUCACUUGUAAUUGAGGCAAGAGACACCAAACUUGUGGUGGUCCUUGUGGGAACUUUGUGUUCCAAGUGAUUGAGAAGAGAAAGCUCACUCGGUCGGAAGGACCGUUUGAGAGAGGGAAGGGUUGAAAGAGACCCGGCCUUUGUGGCCUCCUCAACGGGGAGUAGGUUUGCGAGAACCGAACCUCGGUAAAACAAAUCCACGUGUCACACUCUUCAUUUGCUUGCGAUUUGUUUUGCACCCUCUCUCGCGGACUCGUUUAUAUUUCUAACGCUAACCCGGCUUGUAGUUGUGUUUAUAUUUGUAAAUUUCAGUUUCGCCCUAUUCACCCCCCCUUCUAGGCGACUAUUAAUUGGUAUCAGAGCCCGGUGCUUCAUUAGAGCCUAACCGCUCGAAGUGAUGUCGGGAGAACACGCCAAGAAGGAAAUGGAGACCGGCGAAAAGCCCACUACAAGCCACGGGAGCACUUCAUCGGAAGAGUCCCGCACCAAGAGGAGGGAGUAGAAGAGAGCUCCUCCAACAAAGGGAAGGAGAAGAAAUCUUCUUCUCACCACAAAGAGAAGAAGGAAAAAUCUUCUUCCCACAAGCCGCAUCGGAGUGGGGACAAGCAAAAGAGGAUGAGGAAAGUGGUCUACUACGAGACCGGCACUUCAUCAACAUCGACCUCCGGCUCCGAUGCGCCGUCCGUAACUUCUAAACGCCAAGAGCGUAAGAAGUUUAGUAAGAUCCCCUUACACUACCCUCGCAUUUCUAAACAUUCACCUUUACUUUCCGUCCCAUUAGGCAAACCACCAACUUUUGAUGGUGAAGAUUAUGCUAGGUGGAGUGAUUUAAUGUGAUUUCAUCUAACCUCACUCCACAAAAGUAUAUGGGAUGUUGUUGAGUUUGGUGCACAGGUACCAUCCAUAGGGGAUAAAGACUAUGAUGAGGAUGAGGUGGCCCAAAUCGAGCACUUCAACUCUCAAGCAACAACAAUACUCCUCGCCUCUCUAAGUAGAGAGGAGUAUAACAAAGUUCAAGGGUUGAAGAGCGCCAAGGAAGUUUGGGAUGUGCUCAAAACCGCGCACGAGGGAGAUGAGCUCACAAAGAUCACCAAGCGGGAAACGAUCGAGGGGGAGCUCGGUCGGUUCCAGCUUCGCAAAGGGGAAGAGCCACAACACAUGUACAACCGGCUCAAGACCUUGGUGAACCAAGUGCGCAACCUCGGGAGCAAGAAGUGGGAUGACCACGAGGUGGUUAAGGUUAUUCUAAGAUCUCUUAUUUUCCUUAACCCCACUCAAGUUCAAUUAAUUCGUGGUAAUCCUAGAUAUACUAAAAUGACCCCCGAGGAAGUUAUCGGGAAUUUUGUAAGUUUUGAGUGCAUGAUCGAAGGCUCGAGGAAGAUCAACGAGCUUGAUGAUCCCACCACAUCCGAAGCUCAACCCGUCGCAUUCAAGGCGACGGAGGAAAGGAAGGAGGAGUCUACACCAAGUAGACAACCAAUCGACGCCUCCAAGCUUGAUAAUGAGGAGAUGGCGCUCGUCAUCAAGAGCUUCCGCCAAAUCCUCAAACAAAGGAGGGGGAAAGACUACAAGUCCCGCUCCAAGAAGGUUUGCUACAAGUGUGGUAAGCCCGGUCACUUUAUUGCUAAAUGUCCAUUAUCAAGUGACAGUGACAGGGAUAACGACAAGAAGGGGAGAAGAAAGGAGAAGAAGAGGUACUACAAGAAGAAGGGCGGCGAUGCCCAUGUUUGUCGGGAGUGGGAUUCCGACGAAAGCUCAAGCGACUCCUCCGACGACGAGGACGCCGCCAACAUCACCGUCACCAAAGGGCUUCUCUUCCCCAACAUCGGCCACAAGUGCCUCAUGGCCAAGGACGGCAAAAAGAAGGUUAAAUCUAAAUCCUCCACUAAAUAUGAAUCCUCUAGUGAUGAUAAUGCUAGUGAUGAGGAAGAUAAUUUACGUACUCUUUUUGCCAACCUCAACAUGCAACAAAAGGAAAAACUUAAUGAAUUGAUUAGUGCCAUCCAUGAAAAGGAUGAUCUCUUGGACACCCAAGAGGACUUCCUUAUUAAAGAAAAUAAGAAGCAUGUUAAGGUUAAAAAUGCUUACGCUCUAGAAGUAGAAAAAUGUCAAAAACUAUCUAGUGAGCUAAGCACUUGCCAUGAGAUGAUUGACAACCUUAGACAUGAAAAUGCUAGUUUAAAUGCUAAGGUUGAUUCACAUGUUUGUAAUGUUUCAAUUCCCAAUCCUAGAGAUAAUAAUGAUGAUUUGCUUGCUAGGAUUGAAGAAUUGAACAUUUCUCUUGCUAGCCUUAGAGUAGAAAAUGAAAAUUUAAUUGCUAAGGCUAAAGAACUAGAUGUUUGCAAUGUUACAAUUUCCGAUCUUAGAGAUAAUAAUGAUAUCAUGCGUGCUAAGAUCGUUGAACUUAAUUCAUGCAAACCUUCUACAUCUAGUGUUGAACAUGUUUCCAUUUGUACUAGAUGUAGAGAUGUUGAUAUUAAUGCUAUUCAUGAUGACAUGACCUUAAUUAAACAACAAAAUGAUCAUAUAGCAAUAUUAGAUGCAAAAAUUGCCGAGCAUAACUUAGAGAAUGAAAAAUUUAAAUUUGCUAGAAGUAUGCUUUAUAAUGGGAGACGCCCUGGCAUCAAGGAUGGCAUUGGCUUCCAAAGGGGAGACAAUGUCAAACUUAGUGCCCCUCCUAAAAGAUUGUCUAAUUUCAUAAAAGGCAAGGCUCCCAUGCCUCAGGAUAACGAGGGUUACAUUUUGUACCCUGCCGGUUAUCCUGAGAGCAAAAUUAGGAGAAUUCAUUCUAGGAAGUCUCACUCUGGCCCUAACCAUGCUUUUAUAUAUAAGGGUGAGACAUCUAGCUCUAGGCAACCGACCCGUGCUAAGUUGCCUAAUAAAAGAACUCCUAAUGCAUCAAAUGAACAUAGCAUUUCAUUUAAAACUUUUGAUGCAUCUUAUGUGUUGACUAACAAAUCCGGCAAAGUAGUUGCCAAAUAUGUUGGGGGCAAGCACAAGGGGUCAAAGACUUGUGUUUGGGUACCCAAAGUUCUUGUGUCUAAUGCCAAAGGACCCAAAACCAUUUGGGUACCUAAAGUCAAGAACUAAACUUGUUUUGUAGGUUUAUGCAUCCGGGGGCUCAAGUUGGAUACUCGACAGCGGGUGCACGAACCACAUGACAGGGGAGAAGAAGAUGUUCUCCUCCUACGAGAAAAACCAAGAUCCCCAACGAGCCAUCACAUUCGGGGAUGGAAAUCAAGGUUUGGUCAAAGGUCUUGGUAAAAUAGCUAUAUCUCCUGACCAUUCCAUUUCUAACGUUUUUCUUGUAGAUUCAUUAGAUUACAAUUUGCUUUCUGUAUCUCAAUUAUGUAAAAUAGGAUACAACUGUCUCUUUACUGAUGUAGGUGUCACUGUCUUUAGAAGAAGUGAUGAUUCAAUAGCAUUUAAGGGUGUGUUAGAGGGUCAGCUAUACUUAGUAGAUUUUGAUAGAGCUGAACUCGACACAUGCUUAAUUGCUAAGACUAACAUGGGUUGGCUCUGGCAUCGCCGACUAGCACAUGUUGGGAUGAAGAAUCUUCACAAGCUUCUAAAGGGAGAACACAUUUUAGGACUAACAAAUGUUCAUUUUGAGAAAAACAAGGUUUGUAGCGCAUGCCAAGCAGGAAAGCAAGUUGGUGCCCAUCAUCCACACAAGAACAUCAUGACGACCAACAGGCCGCUUGAGCUACUCCACAUGGAUCUAUUCGGCCCGAUUGCUUACAUAAGCAUCGGCGGGAGUAAGUAUUGUCUUGUAAUAGUGGAUGAUUGUUCUCGCUUCACUUGGGUAUUCUUUUUGCAGGAAAAAUCUCAAACCCAAGAGACCUUAAAGGGAUUCUUGAGACGGGCUCAAAAUGAGUUCGGCUUAAGGAUCAAGAAAAUUAGAAGCGACAACGGAACGGAGUCAAGAACUCUCAAAUUGAAGGCUUCCUUGAGGAGGAGGGCAUCAAGCAUGAGUUCUCUUCUCCCUACACGCCACAACAAAAUGGUGUAGUGAAGAGGAAGAAUCGAACUCUAUUGGACAUGGCAAGGACCAUGCUUGAUGAGUACAAGACUUCGGAUCGGUUUUGGGCCGAGGCGGUCAACACCGCUUGCUACGCCAUCAACCGGUUGUAUCUACACCGAAUCCUCAAGAAGACAUCAUAUGAACUCCUAACCGGUAAAAAGCCCAACAUUUCAUAUUUUAGAGUCUUUGGUAGCAAAUGCUUUAUUCUUGUUAAAAGAGGUAGAAAAUCUAAAUUUGCUCCUAAGACUGUAGAAGGCUUUUUACUUGGAUAUGACUCAAACACAAGGGCAUAUAGGGUCUUUAACAAGUCCACUGGACUAGUUGAAGUCUCAUGUGACGUUGUGUUUGAUGAGACUAACGGCUCUCAAGUAGAGCAAGUUGAUCUUGAUGAGAUAGGUGAUGAAGAGGCUCCGUGCAUAGCGCUAAGGAACAUGUCCAUUGGGGAUGUGUGUCCUAAGGAACCCGAAGAGCCUCCAAAUGCACAAGAUCAACCAUCCUCCUCCACGCAAGCAUCUCCACCAACUCAAAAUGAGGAUGAGGCUCAAGUUGAUGAAGGGCAAGAUCAAGAAGAUGAGCCACCUCAAGAUGACGGCAUAGAUCAAGGGGGAGAUGCAAAUGAUCAAGACAAGGAGGAUGAAGAGCAAAGGCCGCCACACCCAAGAGUCCACCAAGCAAUUCAACGAGAUCACCCCGUCGACACCAUCCUCGACGACAUUCAUAAGGGGGUAACUACUAGAUCUCGUGUUGCACAUUUUUGUGAGCAUUACUCUUUUGUUUCCUCUAUUGAGCCACACAGGGUAGAGGAAGCACUCCAAGAUUCGUAUUGGGUGGUGGCAAUGCAAGAGGAGCUCAACAAUUUCGCUAGGAAUGAGGUAUGGCAUUUAGUUCCACGCCCUAACCAAAAUGUUGUAGGAACCAAAUGGGUCUUCCGCAACAAGCAAGAUAAGCAUGGUGUGGUGACAAGGAACAAAGCUCGACUUGUGGCCAAAGGAUACUCCCAAGUCGAAGGUUUGGAUUUCGGUGAAACCUAUGCACCCGUAGCUAGGCUUGAGUCAAUUCGCAUAUUAUUGGCCUAUGCUACUUACCAUGGCUUUAAGCUUUAUCAAAUGGACGUGAAAAGUGCCUUCCUCAAUGGACCAAUCAAGGAAGAGGUCUAUGUUGAGCAACCUCCCGGCUUUGAAGACAGUGAGUAUCCUAACCAUGUCUAUAAGCUCUCUAAGGCGCUUUAUGGGCUCAAGCAAGCCCCAAGAGCAUGGUAUGAAUGCCUUAGAGAUUUCCUUAUUGCAAAUGGCUUCAAAGUCGGAAAAGCCGAUCCUACACUCUUUACUAAAACUCUUGAAAAUGACUUGUUUGUAUGCCAAAUUUAUGUUGAUGAUAUUAUAUUUGGGUCUACUAACGAGUCUACAUGUGAAGAGUUUAGUAGGAUCAUGACACAGAAGUUCGAGAUGUCUAUGAUGGGGGAGUUGAAGUAUUUUCUAGGAUUUCAAGUGAAGCAACUCCAAGAAGGUACCUUCCUAAGCCAAACAAAGUACACUCAAGAUAUUCUAAGCAAGUUUGGAAUGAAGGAUGCCAAACCCAUCAAGACACCCAUGGGAACUAAUGGGCAUCUCGACCUCGACACGGGAGGUAAGUCCGUGGAUCAAAAGGUAUACCGGUCGAUGAUAGGUUCUUUACUUUAUUUAUGUGCAUCUCGACCGGAUAUUAUGCUUUCCGUAUGCAUGUGUGCAAGAUUCCAAGCCGACCCUAAGGAAGCUCACCUUACGGCCGUGAAACGAAUCUUGAGAUAUUUAGCUUAUACUCCUAAGUUUGGGCUUUGGUAUCCUAGGGGAUCCACAUUUGAUUUAAUUGGUUUUUCGGAUGCCGAUUGGGCGGGGUGCAAAAUCAAUAGAAAGAGCACAUCGGGGACUUGUCAGUUCUUGGGAAGAUCCUUGGUGUCUUGGGCUUCAAAGAAGCAAAAUUCGGUCGCUCUUUCCACCGCCGAAGCCGAGUACAUUGCCGCAGGUCAUUGUUGCGCGCAAUUGCUUUGGAUGAGGCAAACCCUGCGGGACUACGGUUACAAAUUAACCAAAGUCCCUUUGCUAUGUGAUAAUGAGAGUGCAAUCAAGAUGGCGGAUAAUCCCGUCGAGCAUAGCCGCACUAAACACAUAGCCAUUCGGUAUCACUUUCUUAGGGAUCACCAACAAAAGGGAGAUAUUGAGAUUUCUUACAUUAAUACUAAAGAUCAAUUAGCCGAUAUCUUUACCAAGCCUCUUGAUGAACAAUCUUUUAACAAACUUAGGCAUGAACUCAAUAUUCUUGAUUCUAGGAACUUCUUUUGUUGACUUGCACAUAUAGCUCAUUUAUAUACCUUUGAUCAUGUCUCUUUCAUAUGCUAUGACUAAUGUGUUUUCAAGUCUAUUUCAAACCAAGUCAUAGGUGUAUUGAAAGGGAAUUUGGAGUCUUCGGCGAAGACAAAGGCUUCCACUCCGUAACUCAUCCUUCGCCGUCAGUCCAAGCAACUCUCCAUUCUUGGGGGAGAAAGCAUGAGCACCAAGCAAAAGGACUCCAUCUUUGGUAUAAUCUUCACUCAUUUGUUUUGACCAAAGAGGGAGAAUGUAACUUCGAGGGCUCUAAUGAUUCCGUUUUUGGCGAUUCAUGCCAAAGGGGGAGAAAGUAUGAGCCCAAAGCAAAAGGACCGCACCACCACUAAUUUCAAAAACUUAGUGUUGAAUAUUUUCAAUUGGUAUCCUAUUGUGUUCAAAAGGGGGAGAAAAUAGUAUUUCAAAAAGUAUAGAUCAAAACCCUCUUGAACACUAAGAGGAGGAUCUCAUUAAGGGGAGUUUUGUUUAGUCAAAGGAAAAGCAUUUGAAACAGGGGGAGAAAACUUCAAAUCUUGAAAAUGCUUUGCAAAAUCUUAUUCAAUUAUCUUUGACUAUUUGCAAAAGAACUUUGAAAAGAAUUUACAAAAGAGAUUUGCAAAAACAAAACCUGUGGUGCAAGCGUGGUCCAAAAUGUUAAAUAAGAAAGAAACAAUCCAUGCAUAUCUUGUAAGUAGUUAUAUUGGCUCAAUUCCAAGCAAUCUUUGCACUUACAUUUUGCAAACUAGUUCAAUUAUGCACUUCUAUAUUUGCUUUAGUUUGUGUUGGCAUCAAUCACCAAAAAGGGGGAGAUUGAAAGGGAAUUAGGCUUACACCUAGUCCCUAAUUAAUUUUGGUGGUUGAAUUGCCCAACACAAAUAAUUGGACUAACUAGUUUGCUCUAGUGUAUAAGUUAUACAGGUGUAAAAGGUUCACACACAGCCAAUAAAAAGAUCAAGUUUUGGAUUCAACAAAGGAGCAAAAAGGCAACCGAAGGCACCUCUGGUCUGGAGGCACCGAACUGUCCGGUGUACACCGGACAGUGUCCGGUGCGCCACCGGACAGUGUCCGGUGCACCAGAGGACUCCAACUCGAACUCGCCACCUUCGGGAAUUUAUCAGGCCGGCGCGCUAUAAUUCACCGGACUGUCCGGUGUACACCGGACAGUGUCCGGUGCUCCAAGGAAGCGCGGCCUCCGGAACUCGCCAGCCUCGAGAACGUGCAGCAGCCGCUCCGCUAAAAUUCACCGGACAUGUCCGGUGUGCACCGGACUGUCCGGUGUAACCACGGAGCAACGGCUAUUUCGGCGCCAACGGCUACCUGCGGCGCAUUUAAUGCGCGCUCUGCGUGCGCAGUUGGCAGGCGCGCCCAUACUGGCACACCGGACAAGGAACAGUAGGUGUCCGGUGUGCACCGGACACCCAGGCGGGCCCAGAAGUCAGAAGCUCCAACGGUCAGAAUCCAACAGCAGUGAUGACGUGGCGGGGGCAUCGGACAUGUCCGGUGCGCACCGGACUGUCCGGUGCGCCAUCGAACAGACAGCCUCCCAACAGCCACUUUUGGUGGUUGGGGCUAUAAAUACCCCAACCACCCCACCAUUCAUUGCAUCCAAGUUUUCCACUUCCCAACUACUACAAGAGCUCUAGCAUUCAAUUCUAGACACACCAAAGAGAUCAAAUCCUCUCCAAAUUCCACACAAACUUCAUAGUGACUAGAGAGAGUGAUUUGCUUGUGUUCUUUCGAGCUCUUGCGCUUGGAUUGCUUUCUUCUUUCUUGAUUCCUUCAAUGCAAUCAAACUCACUUGUAAUUGAGGCAAGAGACACCAAACUUGUGGUGGUCCUUGUGGGAACUUUGUGUUCCAAGUGAUUGAGAAGAGAAAGCUCAGUCGGUCGGAAGGACCGUUUGAGAGAGGGAAGGGUUGAAAGAGACCCGGCCUUUGUGGCCUCCUCAACGGGGAGUAGGUUUGCGAGAACCGAACCUCGGUAAAACAAAUCCACGUGUCACACUCUUCAUUUGCUUGCGAUUUGUUUUGCACCCUCUCUCGCGGACUCGUUUAUAUUUCUAACGCUAACCCGGCUUGUAGUUGUGUUUAUAUUUGUAAAUUUCAGUUUCGCCCUAUUCACCCCCCCUCUAGGCGACUAUCACAAUGCUUCCUUUGCUAUUUGUAGAAAGGAUGAGAAGGUAAUUGCUAGGAAAUUAGGGGCCAAAUGUAAGGGAGACAAGACUUGCAUUUGGGUCCCUAAGACUAUUAUAACUAACCUUGUAGGACCCAACAUGAGUUGGGUACAUAAGACCCAAGCCUAAAUUUGCCUUUCAGGUUUAUGCAUCCGGGGGCUCAAGCUGGAUUAUCGACAGUGGAUGCACAAACCACAUGAUGGGGAAAAAGAGGAUGUUCUCUUCCUACGUCAAGAACAAGGAUCCCCAAGAUUCAAUCAUAUUCGGUGAUGGGAACCAAGGCAAGGUGAAAGGGUUAGGAAAAAAUGCUAUUUCAUCCGAGCACUCUAUUUCUAAUGUGUUCUUAGUUGAGUCGCUUGGAUAUAACUUGUUGUCUGUGAGUCAACUUUGUAAUAUGGGAUAUAACUGUUUAUUCACAAAUGUAGAUGUGUCUGUCUUUAGAAGAAGUGAUGGUUCAUUAGCUUUAAGGGUGUAUUAGACGACAAACUUUAUUUAGUUGAUUUUGCAAAAGAGGAGGCCGGUCUAGAUGCAUGCUUAAUUGCUAAGACUAGCAUGUGCUGGCUGUGGCAUCGCCGUUUAGAACAUGUGGGGAUGAAGAACCUUCACAAGCUUCUAAAGGGAGAACACGUGAUAGGUCUAACUAACGUAACUUUCGAAAAAGAUAGACCUUGUGCAGCUUGUCAAGCAGGUAAACAGGUGGGAAGCUCUCAUCAUGCCAAAAAUGUGAUGACAACAUCAAGACCCCUGGAGUUACUUCAUAUGGACCUCUUCGGACCCGUCGCCUAUCUAAGCAUAGGAGGAAGUAAGUAUGGUCUUGUUAUAGUUGAUGAUUUUUCCCGCUUCACUUGGGUAUUCUUUUUGCACGAUAAAUCUGAAACCCAAGGGACCCUCAAGCGCUUCCUAAGGAGAGCUCAAAAUAAGUUUGAGCUCAAGGUGAAGAAGAUAAGGAGCGACAAUGGGUCCGAGUUCAAGAACCUUCAAGUGGAAGAGUAUCUUGAGGAGGAAGGAAUCAAGCACGAGUUCUCCGCUCCCUAUAGACCAUAGCAAAAUGGUGUGGUAGAGAGGAAGAACAGGACGCUACUAGACAUGGCGAGGACGAUGCUUGGUGAAUUCAAGACGCCCGAACGGUUUUGGACGGAAGCCGUGAGCACGGCUUGCCAUGCCAUAAACCGGGUCUACCUUCAUUGCCUCCUCAAGAAGACUUCAUAUGAGCUUCUAACCGGUAACAAACCCAAUGUGUCUUACUUUCGUGUAUUUGGGAGCAAAUGUUAUAUUCUAGUGAAGAAAGGUAGAAAUUCUAAGUUUGCUCCCAAAGCUGUAGAAGGGUUUUUGUUAGGUUAUGACUCAAAUACAAAGGCGUAUAGGGUCUUCAACAAAUCAUCGAGUUUGGUUGAAGUCUCUAGCGACGUUGUAUUUGAUGAAACUAAUGGCUCUCCAAGAGAGCAAGUUGUUGAUCUUGAUGAUGUAGAUGAAGAAGACGUUCCAACGGCCGCAAUGCGCGCCAUGGCGAUUGGAGAUGUAAGGCCACUGGAACAAAAGGAGCAAGAUCAACCUUCUUCCUCAACAACGGUACAUCCCCCAACUCAAGGAGAUGAACAGGUUCAUCAAGAGGAGGCGUGUGAUCAAGGGGGAGCACAAGAUGAUCAUUUAAUGUAGGAAGAAGCACAACCAGCACCUCCAACCCAAGUUCGAGCGACGAUUCAAAGGGAUCAUCCCGUCGACCAGAUUUUGGGUGAUAUUAGCAAGGGAGUUACUACUCGCUCUAGAUUAGUUAAUUUUUGUGAGCAUUACUCUUUUGUCUCUUCUAUUGAGCCUUUCAGGGUAGAAGAGGCCUUGCUAGAUCCGAACUGGGUGUUGGCCAUGCAGGAAGAGCUCAACAACUUCAAGCGAAAUGAAGUUUGGACACUGGUGCCUCGUCCCAAGCAAAAUGUUGUGGGAACCAAGUGGGUGUUCCGCAACAAACAAGACGAGCACGGGGUGGUGACAAGGAACAAGGCACGACUUGUGGCAAAAGGUUAUGCCCAAGUUGCAGGUUUGGACUUUGAGGAGACUUUUGCUCCUGUGGCUAGGCUAGAGUCAAUUCGCAUAUUGUUAGCCUAUGCUACUCACCAUUCUUUUAGGUUGUUCCAAAUGGAUGUGAAGAGCGCUUUCCUCAACGGGCCAAUCAAGGAGGAGGUGUACGUGGAGCAACCCCCCUGGCUUUGAGGAUGAACGGUACCCCGACCACGUGUGUAAGCUCUCUAAGGCGCUCUAUGGACUUAAGCAAGCCCCGAGAGCAUGGUAUGAAUGCCUUAGAGACUUUUUAAUUGCUAAUGCUUUCAAGGUUGGGAAAGCCGACCCAACACUAUUUACUAAGACUUGUGAUGGUGAUCUCUUUGUGUGCCAAAUUUAUGUCGAUGACAUAAUAUUUGGUUCUACUAAUCAAAAGUGUUGUGAAGAGUUUAGCUGGGUGAUGACUCAAAAGUUUGAGAUGUCAAUGAUGGGCGAGUUAAGCUAUUUUCCUUAGGUUCCAAGUAAAGCAACUCAAGGAUGGGACCUUCAUCUCCCAAACGAAGUACAUGCAAGACUUGAUCAAGCGGUUUGGGAUGAAGGACGCCAAGCCCGCAAAGACUCCAAUGGGAACCGACGGACACACCGACCUCAACAAAGGAGGUAAGUCCGUUGAUCAAAAGGCAUACCGGUCUAUGAUAGGGUCCUUACUUUAUUUAUGUGCAAGUAGACCGGAUAUUAUGCUCAGUGUAUGCAUGUGUGCUAGAUUUCAAUCCGAUCCAAAGGAGUGUCACUUAGUGGCUGUGAAGCGAAUUCUUAGAUAUUUAGUUGCUACGCCUUGCUUCGGGAUCUGGUAUCCAAAGGGGUCUACCUUUGACUUGAUUGGAUAUUCAGACUCCGACUAUGCUGGAUAUAAGGUCGAUAGGAAGAGUACAUCAGGGACGUGCCAAUUCUUAGGAAGGUCCCUGGUGUCGUGGAGUUCUAAGAAACAAACCUCCGUUGCCCUAUCCACCGCUGAGGCCGAGUAUGUUGCCGCAGGACAGUGUUGCGCGCAACUACUUUGGAUGAGGCAAACCCUCAGGGACUUUGGCUACAAUCUGAGCAAAGUCCCACUCCUAUGUGAUAAUGAGAGUGCUAUCCGCAUGGCAGAUAAUCCAGUUGAACACAGCCGCACAAAGCACAUAGACAUCAGGCAUCACUUUUUGAGGGAUCACCAGCAAAAGGGAGAUAUCAAAGUGUUUCAUGUUAGCACCGAGAACCAGCUAGCCGAUAUCUUUACCAAGCCUCUAGAUGAGAAGACCUUUUGCAGGCUGCGUAGUGAGCUAAAUGUCUUAGAUUCGCGGAACUUGGAUUGAUUUAUAGCAUACAUGUGGUUUAUGCUUUGAUCAUGUUCCUUAAUGCAUUUUGUUGUUUAUUUAUGGUGCUCAAGUUGUACAAGCACUCCCCGAACCUCACAAGUCCAUUUGCAAGUGAUGCACACAUUUAGGUGGAGAUGUGCUACAACUUGACCCUUUGAGGCUAACUGUGUGCUUGAGUUUGCUUAAUUUAGUCUCAAAGAAGGUUUGAAAGGGAAAAGGUGGACUUGGACCAUGCAAGACUUCCACUGCACUCCGAUGAAAGAGUAACUGAUUCCAAGUUCAUCUUUGUACUCUUAUUGCCUUUUUACUCUUAGUUGAAUAUUUUGGUGAGGCAAUGGGGUUAAAGGGCCAAGAUUGAUCCCGUUUUGGUGCUUGAUGCCAAAGGGGAAGAAAAUAAGGCCAAAGCAAUAAAUGGAUCAGCUACCACUUGAGAAUUUUGAAAAUAGUAGAAUAGAGCUUUUGGUUUGUCAAAAAUCUCUUAUUGUCUCUUUUGUCAAAAGCUGGCCUCUGGUGGGGAGAAUGGUUGAUUAUGAAAAAAAGGGAGUUUUUGAAAUCUUUGAUCAAAUUCUCUUGGAACAACUCUCUUUAUGUCUCAACAAGUGUGUUUGACUUAGAGAUAGGCAAUUGAGUUUGAUUUACAAAAAACAAACCAAGUGGUGGCAAAGAAUGAUCCAAAUAUGCCAAAUUUGAAUCAAAACAAAUUUGAGUUUUCAUUCGCAUUGAUGUUGCACUUCUUUUAGUUGCUUUUUAUUGUGUUGGCAUAAAUCACCAAAAAGGGGGAGAUUGAAAGGGAAAUGUGCUCUUGGGCCAUUUCUAAGUAUUUUGGUGAUUAAGUGUCCAACACAAGUGCCUAAGUGUUAAAUUGUGCCAAGGACUCAAGAAGUGCAAAUCAAGAUUAAAGGUAUGUUUCUAGACUUAGUACAUUGUUUUUAAGACUAAUGUAUUGUGUCUAAGUGCUAGAAACAGGAGAAACAAUUUUGGAGAAGUUGGCUGUGUACAACCAAAAGGCUGCUCGGUCUGGGUGCACCGGACUGUCCGGUGGUGCACCGGACAGUGUCCGGUGUGCCAGGCUGGCAUCUGUCAACUAGCUGCUCUCGGGAAGCGAUUAACGGCGUACGGCUAUAAAUCACCGGACUGUCCGGUGAGCCAACAGUCGACUGGGCCAAUGGUCGGCCGCGUAAUCCGCGCGCGACGCGUGGCAGAGCCAACGGUCACAAGGGGCACCGGACUGUCCGGUGUGCACCGGACAGUGUUUGGUGCGCCAACGGCUCUGAACCGCCAACGGUCGGCUUCGCCAAAGAAGGAAAGAAAUCCGCACCAGACUGUCCGGUGCGCCAGGCGACAGAAGGCAAGAAUUGCCUUCCUGGAAUGCUCUCAACGGCUCCUAGCUGCCUUGGGGCUAUAAAAGGGACCCCUAGGCGCAUGGAGAAGAAGACCAAGCAUUCCUUGAGCAUUGUUGAUCACUCACACUUCAUUCUUGCGCACUUGUUCGACAUUCCUAGUGAUUUGAGCUCCGUUCUAGUGAGAACCUUGUGAUACUCUUUUGAGCUCAAGUCUUGAUCUUGUGUGUGCGUAUUUGCUGUGGAUUUGAGUGUGUUGCUUCCCUCCCUUACUCUAGUGCUUCAUUGUGAUUCUUAUUGUAAGGGCGAGAGACUCCAAGUUGUGGAGAUUCCUCGCAAACGGGAAAGAGUAAAGUAAAGAAGAACACCGUGGUAUUCAAGUUGAUCAUUGGAUCACUUGAGAGGAGUUGAGUGCAACUCUCGUCCGUUGGGACGCCACAACGUGGAGUAGGCAAGUUUUGUACUUGGCCGAACCACGGGAUAAAUCCUCGUGUCUCUUGUGCUUGUCCUUAUUGUGUCUAUUGUGCUUCACAAGAGCUCUCCUCUCUACUCACUUGAUUUCAUUGAUCUAACUCUUAAUCAAGUUUGUGGUGUUAUGUUGUAAGUUUUACAGGAUCACCUAUUCACCCCCCCUCUAGGUGCUCUCACUUUCGGAUAAGGUAGUCUUCCAGUAGCUUUCCUAAUUAGUUAGCCAAGGGGUCCCAUUCCUCCCUUGUGGUGGCAUGUUUUCCCGGGUGGUUCUCCAUGUUCCCAUUAACAUAAUGAUCUUAUCAUGAACAUAAAUAACAUAACAGAAUGAUAGGAACAUGGAUAUAAUGAAAUAUUAACCCAAAACCAUGUAAAGCAAUAGCAUAAGUACCCAAUGAUUCAGGGGUAAACAAGGUAAAAAGAUAAACAGUCUAGGGUGACCUAUUGGGUCCCAUCAAAAUUAAACCUAUGCAUUGAUAAGUGAUAAUAAAGAACAUUAUUGGGUAACAAAAGUGGUCAAGGGCACAACUUGCCUGACACUUGAGAUUCCAGUUACCCCGAUGAUUCUUCAGAUCCUCGUGACCUCACCGCUAGUCGUAGCAAUACACACAAACAUUGUAUGGACAAAAUUAAAAUUAUGCCAAACAUAAGAACAAAUUGCAUAAUAAUAAUCUACGCUGCGUGACGAGAUCGUAGGAACCGGAAUCACUAAAUUUGGAGUUACGGUGAUUUAAUUAUGAAUCUCUGAAGUUAUCAAGUACUUGGAGUAGCAUAACUCAUGUGGAUAAUUUUAGUUCAAGUAUAAUGGGUAAACAUAGUUACUAGGUGAUAAACAAUAUUAAAACAAAAUUAUUACCACUAGAAUGAAUCAAUUUGAAAUUAAAAUGGGGAAGUUAUGAAUUUCCAAAGGUUUUAUGUAUUUGAUACAAGAUUAAUUAAGAGAUUAAAUUUAAUGGGGCUUUCAUGUCAAAACAGUGGCACUAGAUGAUAAACAAUAGUAUUACAAAAUUUUAGAAACUUGAAUGGAUUAAUUUGGAGUUCAAAUGAAUUUUCUAUGAUUUAUAAAAGUCCUAGCAAAUAUUUUCAUAUUAAAUAUUCAUUUUCUAAUUCAUUUAUCCAAUUUAAAUGGGCUCUGGACUGCGCGCACUAAAACAGGGAUUUGCAGGGGCCUUGGCGCAAUUAAACCGUAGACUCAGAACACUAUACAUUGGACUGCGGGUUCAUAUAACAAAAGGGCAGGGGCUCUUAUGUAACUAUGCUCGGCCGAAGGGGUACGGGGUGAUAUCGGCCGUUUGAUCCAAAAUCUGCGCGCCAGAUUAGACUUCAUGCUAGUUAUUCAUCCGCGCUCAACCAUGGCCGUCGGAUCCGGGAUUUGCGGUUCUGGUUUAAUGACUCGAAGGGGUACGCCCAGAUUCGGUCUAGGCCAUUCCUUUCAUGAUCAACGGUCUAGGGCCAACUCCCCCUAGAUCUAAUCCUAGCUCUACAGAGAUUGAUCAACGGUCUUGGGGCUUCUUCCUCCCCAUGACCCCGGACGGCUGCGUCACGAACUGGGGAAACGUCUAGCUCGCGUGUAGGUUGACUAACCGCCCAGGAGUAUGGAUCGGAGCGUGGAUAGAACCUAUGCAGUAAGGAUGAAAUGUUGAAUUACAUGGAUGUCUUCUUACCAAGUUCGAAGCACAAGUACAGUUGCCCACGGAGGCUUGCGGCGUGAUGGCGAUUCCUCAACACCGCCCGCGAAGCUCCCGAUUUCUGACUUGGCGAAUACGUGAAUGAGUCUUCGCGCGGUACGGGGUGAUAUCGCAGCUUGACAACGCCCGCAAGUCGUUGGAGAACCCGGCUCCCACCGCACGACAGAGACGACGCUCACACACCCUCACUCACGACGGCGGUGAAACACGGUGGCACAUGCACGAAUGGCUUAUCUGCUGGCAACCGGGACGGCGAUUUCUAGGGACGAGGGUUUUGUAGGGUGAGGGAAGGCGGGGUUUGCGGCAAGCG